rnacentral:lncRNA from 10 species
AGGGUUUUAGGAAGAUUCCCCAAAUGGCCACAAACCUAAUAGGGCAGCACAGACGGGAUGUUGCGGGUGCAUCUGUAUGUAUGUGUGCACAGGUGCCUGUGCAUGUGUACAUGUGUGCAUAGACCUGUGUGUACAUCUGUCUCCAUGUACGUAUGUCUGUGUGUGGCACAGAUGGGAUACUGCGGGUGCAUCUGCAUAUGUGUGCACAGGUGCCUGUGCAUGUGUACAUGUGUGCAUAGACCUGUAUGUGCAUCUGUCUCCAUGUACGUAUG